AGCUCCAAUAGCGUAUAUUAAAGUUGUUGCAGUUAAAAAGCUCGUAGUCGGAACUCGGGCUGGGGGUCUGUGCCCAGCACUGCUGCGUGUGCAGGGCCCCGGUCUUCCUUCUGGCUUUGCGCGGGGGGUCCUUUACUGGGCUGUCUGCGUGGAGGUCAGGACGUUUACUGUGAAAAAAUUAGAGUGUUUAAAGCAGGCGCAUUGCUGUGAAUACAUUAGCAUGGAAUAAUAGAAUAGGACUUGGGUUCUAUUUUGUUGGUUUUUAGGACCGAAGUAAUGAUUAAUAGGGACAGUUGGGGGCAUUCGUAUUUCAUUGUCAGAGGUGAAAUUCUUGGAUUUAUGAAAGACGAACCGCUGCGAAAGCGUCUGCCAAGGAUGUUUUCAUUGAUCAAGAACGAAA
rnacentral:rRNA from 1 species